GGGGGUAUGGCUUAGUGGCAGAGCAUUCGAUUGCAGAUCGACUGAUCCCCGGUUCGAAUCCGGGUGCCCCCU